CCUACGGGAGGCUGCAGUGGGGAAUAUUGGACAAUGGGGGGAACCCUGAUCCAGCGACGCCGCGUGAGUGAAGAAGUAUUUCGGUAUGUAAAGCUCUAUCAGCAGGGAAGAAAAUGACGGUACCUGACUAAGAAGCCCCGGCUAACUACGUGCCAGCAGCCGCGGUAAUACGUAGGGGGCAAGCGUUAUCCGGAUUUACUGGGUGUAAAGGGAGCGUAGACGGUGCAGCAAGUCUGAUGUGAAAGGUCGGGGCCCAACCCCGGGACUGCAUUGGAAACUGUUGAACUGGAGUGCAGGAGAGGUAAGCGGAAUUCCUAGUGUAGCGGUGAAAUGCGUAGAUAUUAGGAAGAACACCGGUGGCGAAGGCAGCUUACUGGACUGUAACUGACGUUGAGGCUCGAAAGCGUGGGGAGCAAACAGGAUUAGAUACCCUGGUAGUC
rnacentral:rRNA from 1 species